rnacentral:rRNA from 1 species
UUGCAGUUGAUACUGGGUGUCUUGAGUACAGUAGAGGCAGGCGGAAUUCGUGGUGUAGCGGUGAAAUGCUUAGAUAUCACGAAGAACUCCGAUUGCGAAGGCAGCCUGCUGGACUGUAACUGACGCUGAUGCUCGAAAGUGUGGGUAUCAAACAGGAUUAGAUACCCUGGUAGUCCACACAGUAAACGAUGAAUACUCGCUGUUUGCGAUAUACAGUAAGCGGCCAAGCGAAAGCGUUAAGUAUUCCACCUGGGGAGUACGCCGGCAACGGUGAAACUCAAAGGAAUUGACGGGGGCCCGCACAAGCGGAGGAACAUGUGGUUUAAUUCGAUGAUACGCGAGGAACCUUACCCGGGCUUGAAUUGCAACUGAAUGAUGUGGAGACAUGUCAGCCGCAAGGCAGUUGUGAAGGUGCUGCAUGGUUGUCGUCAGCUCGUGCCGUGAGGUGUCGGCUUAAGUGCCAUAACGAGCGCAACCCUUAUCGAUAGUUACCAUCAGGUGAUGCUGGGGACUCUGUCGAGACUGCCGUCGUAAGAUGUGAGGAAGGUGGGGAUGACGUCAAAUCAGCACGGCCCUUACGUCCGGGGCUACACACGUGUUACAAUGGGGGGUACAGAAGGUAGCUACACGGUGACGUGAUGCUAAUCCCUAAAGCCUCUCUCAGUUCGGAUUGGAGUCUGCAACCCGACUCCAUGAAGCUGGAUUCGCUAGUAAUCGCGC